rnacentral:piRNA from 1 species
UUAGAGAAACUCUCUUCAUCCAGCCUUU